AAGGCACCUGGGGAGGGGGAUGGAAUCACAAUAGACUACUGCAACUCCACCUCCUGGCCCCCCAGGUCUGGCCUGCUGAUGCAGAGAGAACCCAGGUGGGCUAAGUGGGAAGGACUAACUCCCCCAGCUUCAUCCAGCCAGGUCUCUUUAAUACAGGCCAGGCCAGCCUCCUCCUCCAGGAUCAGGUCCUGGAUGGCUGAUGUUGUCCCUUUUACUGACCUGGCAUUCAGCAGCAGCAACUGGAAAUCCUGAAAGCAGCUCAGUUUGCCAGGCCAAAAUCAGGUGAAAACAGAGUAUUUUGGCAUAGCAGUUUCAUUGAUAUGAAGCAUGUACAAAAGGAGCAAAGAAUUCCUUAUCUCAGGGGACCUGCUGACAUUGUUGCACUGACAAACACGCCAGUACUACUGUGUGGAGAAAUCUGACAUCUCUUGGACAAAUCCUAUCUAAUAAUGUUUAAAGAUGAAUCAGGUCUUAUAGAUCUUAUUUGUUUUGUUAAAAUUAUUUUAGGACAAAGGAAAGCAUCUCAGAUGUCUCAAAAAAUUCAUAUUAUUUUUCAUAAAAUAAAAAAUACACAUUUCACAACAGGUGAUGUUCCUCUGAAGUUUUUCUCCUUUGUAAAGGUCUAGUUUUACUUAACUAGGUUAAGAGUUAUUACAAAACAUGAAGACAUUCUAUUUUGUGAAUACACAUUAUGCUUAAAGUAAUGUGCAAAUUGUAAUUAGCAUUACCAAAGACCCAGCUGAUCUUCUUCAAGUACAAAGUGUGAUACUUUUAACAUCCGGAAAAAAAUUAGUAACUUAAUGGGGUUCCUAAGGCACUGCUUCUGAAACAGGAUAUUCUCAAAAGAACUGUUGAACAGGCCCCGUGAACAAUCUGAUUUUCACAUCCUCAAAAAAUAAAAUAAAAUAAAAUAAAAAAGA